GUGCCAGCAGCCGCGGUAAUACCCGCGGCCCGAGUGGUGGUCGAUAUUAUUGAGCCUAAAACGUCCGUAGCCGGUCUCAUAAAUCCUUGGGUAAAUCGGCCAGCUUAACUGUCCGAAGUCCGAGGAGACUGUGAGACUUGGGAUCGGGAGAGGUCAGAGGUACUUCUGGGGUAGGGGUAAAAUCCUGUAAUCCUGGAAGGACCACCGGUGGCGAAGGCGUCUGACUAGAACGAAUUCGACGGUGAGGGACGAAGCCCUGGGGCGCAAACGGGAUUAGAAACCCUCGUAGUCC
rnacentral:rRNA from 1 species